GAUCCUGGCUCAGGAUGAACGCUAGCUACAGGCUUAACACAUGCAAGUCGAGGGGCAGCGGGAAGUCAGCUUGCUGACUUUGCCGGCGACCGGCGCACGGGUGAGUAACACGUAUCCAACCUCCCGCAUACUCGGGAAUAGCCUUUCGAAGAAAGAUUAAUGCCCGAUGGUUUCAAGGGAUUGCAUGGUAUCUUGAAUAAAGAAUUCAUCGGUAUGCGAUGGGGAGUGCGUUCCCAUUAGG
rnacentral:rRNA from 1 species